rnacentral:rRNA from 1 species
GACAAACGCUGGCGGCGUACCUAAGACAUGCAAGUCGAACGGGGCUCACCGCUUCGGCGGGGAGUCGAGUGGCGGACGGGUGAGUAACGCGUAGGAACCUGUCGCGGAGUGGGGGAUACCGCUGGGAAACCGGCGCUAAUACCGCAUGAGCUCAGAGAUGAGAAAAGCAGCAAUGCGCUCGGUGAGGGGCCUGCGUCCGAUUAGCUGGUUGGUGGGGUAAAAGCCUACCAAGGCGACGAUCGGUAGCUGGUCUGAGAGGAUGGUCAGCCACACUGGG